AUGCCUGAGCCUUAGCAUUGUUUUUGUUCAUUUAUUCAACAACUUUUGUUCACAGAUGUAUGCAAAGGGCCUAAUGUAUUUGAAAGCAAGAUCAGAGCUAGCUAUGUGUCCCAUCCUUGACAGUGAAGAUCCAGUAAGUCCUUUAACCUUUAAGUUUUCAUUCUCACAGAAAUUGGUUAAGUACAAGAUUUAACUAACCUGUUGCAUGACAUUUUUUACAAUUUCAGUAUCAUUACUGAUAUUUUGUGAGCAGGCUACAUUCAUCUUCAUUUCUGCAUUUUCAGCUCUAUUGACGAGUCUGCUAGACAAAUCCUGGCCCCAUUUGAACUCCUUAACUGGUGAUGAAAGCUACCAAAGCCGUGAUCUUCAUGAGGCAUCCCAACAACUUGCUAAACCAUUUUACGCUGAGAAGGUGGAACCUAUUACAUCGAUACCAAAACAAGUUGGCAACAUGUACACCGCGUCUCUCGAUGCUGCAUUUGCAUCCCUCCUUCACAAUAAGCAUUACUAAUAUAUCAUAUUUAAUCGUAUUCUUAUACACCUUACAAAACGACAUCUAGGAAGUAUGCCUGCAGGAUUUUGCUGUUAUUCACUUUUUUCAUUAUGAGAUUCUUGUUUGUAUUUACAUUAUCAUUAUAAAAUUAGUUGUUGGGUUGCAUCUGUUUGGAACGAAA